CCUUUUGGAUCACCAAAUCCUUCCUAUCAUUCCUAGACUCCACUUCUUCUUCGGAGUCAUUCGAAUCUCCUACCGAACUGUCAUCCGGAUCAUUUCCUACUUCAAGACGAUCUUCCCACUCUUUAGGGAAUGCCAUAAACUCCUUCCAUUCCCCAUACAGUUUCUUCUCUUAAAUAAUCGCCUCCCAGUCACAACGAGUCAUCUCAGCCUUGCAUCGUAUGCACAACCGAAAAGAUCUCUUG
rnacentral:lncRNA from 1 species